rnacentral:rRNA from 1 species
AACGUAGGGGACAAGCGUUAUCCGGAUUUACUGGGCGUAAAGCGCCCGUAGGCGGCCUGACAAGUUGGACGUGAAAGCUCCUGGCUUAACUGGGAGAGGCCGUUCAAAACUGUCAAGCUAGAGUCUGGAAGAGGAGAGCGGAAUUCCCGGUGUAGUGGUGGAAUGCGUAGAGAUCGGGAGGAACACCAGUGGCGAAAGCGGCUCUCUGGGCCUUACCUGACGCUGAGGCGCGAAAGCUAGGGGAGCGAACAGG